rnacentral:lncRNA from 1 species
UUUUUUUCAAAUCCCUACCUUUGACAAUUCUUACUUGAUCUCUUCCUUUAUUUCAAUCUCAUAUUUGGUCAUUUUUUACUUUCAUGAGAUCUCUCAAAAGAUCUUUUUCUUUUUUAGACUUUAUUUUAACUGGAUUCUUUUCCCUUGGGGUGUACUUGACCUGCUUGCAUUCAUUUCUUCUCAUUUUGCUCCAUUACCUAUUGAGAAACGAUUUUGGGAUAGUGGCCUAGAGGCCCAUUUUCAUCAUUAAAAUGGUUGGUCUAUAUCUAUUUUUUCUUUUCCUUUUUCUUUGCCUUUAACUAUUGUAUGUCUUUUACUGGUUGAGAUUGAGAUGCUCUUCUUUUUUCUUUCAUUUCUCGUCUAUAUAGCCUUCCCUUUUAUUUCGAUACAAAACUUUGAAAUUGAGCUUUUAUGCUUCCUUACCACAUCCCUGAUUCGGACAUGAACCCUCAAAGGCUGACUUUCCAUUGUGUUCAUUAAAUAGGAACGUGUUUUAUAUUUAAAUUUCUAAGAAAAGAGAAAGCUCGUUCCGCUACUAACCUGAUAGUGGUUGCCUUUUUUUUUUUGUGAAAUUAGUAUCAAUAGAAAGAUUUAGGUCGUAAUCAUCAUCUUACUAAGGGUUUGCUCUUGCACAUUCCAUGCUUUAGUUUGUUUUUUUUUUUUUUUACUUAUUUGAGUUAAUAGCUUAAUAGGCAGAGAAAGGGCCCUUUCUGCCAUUUAGGGAUAAGGGUGACCCAAUUAGUGCCAUUUUCUUGUUGGCUAAAAGUCUAACAUAUACCAACGGCUCUUUCAACAUUUAAUGCCUAAAGCAAGGCAAAAAGAAAAUCGAGUGUCUUGUUUUUUGCAUUGAAUUAAAACAUUUUUUUCAAAGCCUUUUCCUACCUUUCAAUAAAAUAUAAAGGCAACCAAAACCAAACUUUCUCCCUGACUCCAUACCCCAUGCUCGGAAAUUAGAAGCUAUAUGAGGGGAUAUUCAUUCCUCUUCUCGGAACUUAACUACUUUUUCUGCCUGAAGCACUUAGGGUGGGCCAUGAGACCAAAAAGGACGACCUCUAUCAAUGUCAGCCAGGCCGUUCUCUCCAUCCAGGUCGAGCAACUUCUAGUCUGGAAUCUCUUUAAACAUUAUCGCUGCUUUACAUAAAAAACCUAAAAUUGGAUCAAAUAUGAUAUGAGCAUGAGUUAUGUCAUUUCCUGAGUCAAAGUUCAUAAGACUUACCUACUAAUGAAAUUAAAAAGAGAGCUUGUUCCCGCCAACCCACGAAAAUGGAUAAUUGGUCAAGAAAGCUCGAAUGAGGAACGUGAAAAAUGUCUCAGGUGUGGAGCCUUGACGUCUUCGCUUGGCCUUACGAGGGCAGGGAGACUUUCGAGGAUAAUUGCAACACACUCUCCCACUCAAAGAAGGGUCCAAGCCAUAUCGCAGAUGUGAGAUGGGUUGAAAGAGAGGAAAAAGAUGAAAGAGCUACAUAUAAUUAGGUAGGUUUGGUAGGUUAGUCACCAAGCGAGUAGUAAAGUGAAGAGUCAGCGGGUCUUUACAUCCAAAAGUGCUUUUUCUUUCCGGCGUAAGGAUUUGAGUGAGGAACUUGACUUGGAGGCAAAUAGGGAUUUCACCUAGACUAUAUUAAGCCAGCGCUUUAAAGGGCUCAGGGUUUACGACUUCUUAGUUAUCGGCAUGGUUUUAGCCUAGCCUCUCAAAUGAGCCCCUAGUCAAAAAUGAACUGUUUAAGCUGUGCAGUGCUCUAGCCUUGAGGAUCUCCACUAAAAGAAAAGCUGUUUAAGCCACGGAGAACUCUCUCUUACUCUUACUACUACUAUCAGGCUAGCUAAACUCCUCUUUCUCUGCCUUAAAGAUUGCCUUAGAGAUGGAUUGUUAAUCUCAUAGCACCUUCCAAAGAGAUAGGCAGGUCGGGCAUCACAUACGAAUUUCCAAGACAUCCCAUAGUUUUGAAAAGAGAGACGUUCGGUUUCUACUAACUGAACAUAGGCAAAUUUUUUAUCAAAAAAAAAAAGUCAUCAAACAUGUCAACUACACUGUAUGUGAAGUUGUCUUUAAGACUAGCCCCAUUUAGAUCUCUAUAGUCCAUACAUAAUUCUCACUUUUUUUUUUUGGUAUCGAGACUAUAUUAGUGACCUAUUUGGGAUAUUUGGCCAUAAUUAGAAAGUUGGCAUCAAACUGCUUUUUAACUUUCUCUUUGAUCUUUAACAACAUCUCCAGUUUUAUACCCCUUAAAUUUUGAUGUCUUGGUCUAUAACCCAAGACUAAUGGCAUAUUUAUGCUUUACAAUAUCUAUGUCGAGCCUUGGCAUAUGCUAAUAUGACCUUGCAAACACAUCUACAUAAUCUUUAAGCAGUUCCUCUAAUUUUCAUCAUUCUUCUGGUGGAAGAGAUGUACCAACCUUUACCUCUUAUUUCUUCUCAUCAUCCCUAAAAUUAAUCAUAUUAACAAGCUCUUGAUGAGGUAUUAUUAUAUUCUCUUCCUAUUCUACUAGUUUUAUAAAUCAGGAGGUAAAAUGUAAUCUUCUAAAUUCUAAUCAUCAAGCUCAUUAACUUGUACAAAAUUUUCAAAAUUGAACUCGAAGCAGUUGUCAUAACCAUUCAUGAUGAUAUUUACUAUUAGAGACCUAAAAAUGAUUAAGAAGGUGAGGAUAUGAUAGAUAUUUUGGCAAGAAAGAUAUAUUAGCAUGAAUAACAGAAUGUAAAAAGUAUUGGAUAGAAUGGAAAAGACUUUGUCAUGAAAAAUGCAUUGCAUUUGACAUUUUAUUGAUGAUGAUGAAAAAUAAACCCAUACAAACUAUCCAUAAGUCCUCAGGUAAAG